rnacentral:piRNA from 1 species
UAACAGGGCUAGGAGUCCACUGAGAUGC